rnacentral:rRNA from 1 species
UUUCCCAGUCACGAUAUAGUACCGAAGAUGCGAACUUCUAUCGUAAGAUAGGAGUGGUAGGGGAGCAUUCUAUAUGCGCUGAAGCAGCAUCGCGAGGUGUUGUGGAGUGUAUAGAAGAGAGAAUUCUGACAUAAGUAGCAAAAAUGCAGAUGAAAAUUCUGCACACCGUAAACCCAAGGUUUCCAGGGUCAAGAUUUUCUGCCCUGGGUUAGUCGAUCCUAAGCCGAGGCUAAGUAGAGUAGGCGAUGGAAGAGCAGGCUAAUAUUCCUGCACUAUUAUUAUGACCGAUUGGAGGGACGCAUUUUACUGAGAUUCUACGUAAUUUGGUUAUGUACGUUUGUGGCUAGUAGAUGUGUAUAGAGGCAAAUCCUUUAUACAUAAGCAUCAAAAGUUGCAUGCAUUUCUACGAAAGUAGAGAGAUAGAAUUGAUUGGAGUGCCGAGAAAAACUUCUAGGGCUAAUCAUAAUAAUACCCGUACCGCAAACCGACUCAGGUGGGUGAGGAGAGUAUCCUAAGGUGCAUGAGAGAAACUUCGUUAAGGAACUAAGCAAAAAAGCGGCCGUAACUUCGGGAUAAGGCUUCCCCCGACGUAGAGUCGGGGGCGCAGUGAAAGUAUCUCUGGCAACUGUUUACCAAAAACACAGCUCCCUGCGAACUCGCAAGAGGAUGUAUAGGGGGUGACACCUGACCAAUGCCAGAAGGUCAAAUGGUGGCGGUGAUAGCCGCAAGGCUUGAGCUGGACGCCAUAAGCCCUGGUGAAUGUCGGCCGUAACUAUAACGGUCCUAAGGUAGCGAAAUUCCUUGUCUGGUAAGUUCAGACGUGCACGAAUGGUGUAAUGACUGGAGAACUGUCUCGGGGACUUGCUCGGUGAAAAUACAAUACCGGUGAAGAUGCCGGUUACCUGCAGUUAGACGAAAAGACCCCAGGAGCUUUACUGCAACUUGAUAUUGAGAAUAUGUUUUGCAUGCGUAGCAUAGUGGUGAGACUUUGAAGGACACUUUCGGGUAGUCUGGAGUCGUCAGUGAAAUAGCCAUCUUGUUUGAUAUAUUUUCUAACCUCGGCGGAAAAAACGACGAGAGACAGUUUCUGGUGGGCAGUUUUAGUGGGGCGCUAUCCUCCUAAAAAGUAACGGAGGAGUUUAUUAAGGUCAGCUAGCCGUGAAUGGAAACCAUGGCGAUAGUGUAUAGGCACAAGCUGGCUUAACUGCGAGACGUACGUGUCAAGCAGAUGCGAAAGCAGAGCUAAGUGAACCGAUCGUUCGCGUUAGACGCGGUGAAAGAUUAUCGGACAAAAGCUACUCCGGGGAUAACAGGCUUGUACUGCCUAAGCGUCCAGAGCGACGGCAGUGUUCGGCACCUCGAUGUCGGCUCAUCUUAUCCCGGGGGUGGAGAAGCUCCCAAGGGUAUGGCUGUUCGCCAUUUAAAAAGUUACGCGAGCUGGGUUCAGACCGUCGUGAGACAGGUUGGUCUCCUAUCUACUGCCUAUCUAGACUAUCUAUAUUCUCCAGAAGGACAAGAUCUUGCUGGUAAACAUUACUAUCGCCCGAUUGAUCCGAAGGUAGCAGCUAAAUACUCUAGCCGCGGUAAUACGUAAGGUGCUAUCGUGACUGG